rnacentral:rRNA from 1 species
GAGUGCCCUAGGCUCUCCACCCAUUGUGACAUACCUAUCGUUACCUCGGCGGGCUCAGCCCGCGGUGACUCCGGGCUCCGGGCGUCCCCCGGGGACAACCAAACCCCGAUUUUAUCGUGUAUCUCUGAGGGGCGAAAGCCCGAAAACAAAAUAAAUCAAAACUUUCAACAACGGAUCUCUUGGCUCUGGCAUCGAUGAAGAACGCAGCGAAAUGCGAUAAGUAAAGUGAAAUGCAGAAUUCAGUGAAUCAUCGAAUCUUUGAACGCACCAUUGCGCCCGCCGGCACUCCGGCGGGCAUGCCUGUCCGAGCGUCAUUUCAACCCUCAGGGCCCCCUUUCGGGGGGGACCUGGUGCUGGGGAUCAGCGGCCCUCGGGCCCCUGUCCCCCAAAUACAGUGGCGGUCGCGCCGCAGCCUCCCCUGCGUAGUAGCACACCUCGCACCGGAGAGCGGUUCGACCACGCCGUAAAACCCCCAACUUUCCAAGGUUGACCUCGGGAUCAGGUNCAGGAAUACCCGCUGAACUUAAGCAUAUCA